rnacentral:rRNA from 1 species
AACCAACAGGGAUUGCCCUAGUAACGGCGAGUGAAGCGGCAACAGCUCAAAUUUGAAAUCUGGCCUUCUGGUCCGAGUUGUAAUUUGUAGAGGAUGAUUUUGGUUAGGUACCUUCCGAGUUCCUUGGAACAGGACGCCUUAGAGGGUGAGAGCCCCGUACGGUUGGAUGCCGAGCCUUUGUAAAUCUCCUUCGACGAGUCGAGUAGUUUGGGAAUGCUGCUCUAAAUGGGAGGUAAAUUUCUUCUAAAGCUAAAUACCGGCCAGAGACCGAUAGCGCACAAGUAGAGUGAUCGAAAGAUGAAAAGCACUUUGAAAAGAGGGUUAAAUAGUACGUGAAAUUGUUGAAAGGGAAGGAUUUAUGACCAGACCUUUGCCUUGCGGAUCAUCCGGUGUUCUCACCGGUGCACUUCGCUUGGUUGAGGCCAGCAUCAGUUUUGGCGGCGGGAUAAAGACUUCAGGAACGUGACUCCCCCGGGAGUGUUAUAGCCUGCUGUGUAAUACCGCCGCUGGGACUGAGGACCGCGCUUCGGCUAGGAUGCUGGCAUAAUGGUCAUCAAUCACCCGUCUUGAAACACGGACCAAGGAGUCGAACAUUUAUGCGAGUUUUUGGGUGUUAAACCCUCAAGCGUAAUGAAAGUGAACGGAGGUGAGAGCCCUUACGGGUGCAUCAUCGACCGAUCCUGAUGUCUUCGGAUGGAUUUGAGUAAGAGCAUAACUGUUCGGACCCGAAAGAUGGUGAACUAUGCGUGGAUAGGGUGAAGCCAGAGGAAACUCUGGUGGAGGCUCGCAGCGGUUCUGACGUGCAAAUCGAUCGUCAAAUCUGCGCAUGGGGGCGAAAGACUAAUCG